rnacentral:snoRNA from 1 species
UUUUGCCUUUGAGAGUGAUCCUGGGCUGCUCACACCCUGUUUUUUGGUAGUGCAGGGAGAGGACUUGCUGAGUGUUUCCCACGUUAGGGAGGUACCCUCACAUC